CAUGCCUUGAAGUGUGAUGAAGAAAAGCAGGGGAGUAUAGAAAAGACCACCAAAAUCACAAGAACACAAUGACAGCACAGCCUUGAAGCUCAAGGAAACAAACCCAACAAAAGCAUCUUCUUUACAGAGUGGAAUGUGUAUUGCUUAUCUAAACAGGUCAUCUUAGAGGAUAAAGUGCCAUGGCCUGCACUCCGAAGUGGAGAUCUUGGCAACAGAAAGGAUAUGACUGGAAGAGAAAGGUCCGAGACAGAUGUCUUUCUACUGCAGCCAUAAUGUAAGAAAGACUGAACCGAGUCACUCCAAAGGUCCACAUAACCUGGUAUCCUGCAGUUGUGUAAGUAGGACAGAGCAGUUACAGCUUUGUUUCCUCUCCUGUUUACCAUCUCAAUUUCUGGCAAUCUAAAGACAGAAUUGGAGACUCUGUCCAUCUCUCUGCAAAGCAGCCUGUACUUUCAUUAAUUUGUCUAGUUACUUCAGGCAGCCCUUAGUAUUUUUGGCAUCAAAAAUAUCUCAUGACAAUGAAUUACCCAAAUUAAGCAGCUGUUGUUUGAAUAGUACUUCCUUGUUUGUUUUACACUUUCAUCUGAAAAAAAUAGUAGAUUCAUCCUAGUUCACAUAAAAAAAUGAGUGGUAGUUCCCUCUUGCCUUUCCCAUGUCAGAGAUGAUUUUUUGCUAUCUGCAUUAUGUCUCCCAUUUGUCAAUUAUUUUCCCUGAAGUCCCAGAGUAUUUGAUCUGUCUUCCUUAGAAAGCACUCUAGCUUUUUGGUCCAUCUGGUCACUUUCUUUUUUUUUUUCUUUCUGUUUUUUUUCAUGUUUUUCUGAUGCUUAAGAUGCUACCUCAUGCC